CUCCCAUGCACCUCAUUCCACAAACACAGAGCAUCUAAUCUGGCUUCGUUUCUUGACUGGGUGCGAGAGAGCUCAGGGCUCUUCCUUGAAGAUGCUCUUAGUUCCUGCUCUUCUGGAUGUAAGAAAAGGUGAUUGUAGAGCAGAUCGUUGAGUCUCAUCCGGACGGCCUGAAGAUCAUGUAUGCUAAUAAGCUCCUGGAGUUCGUUCCUCACCACUGCCGCCUUCUUCGAGAGGUCACAGGAGGAGCCAUCUCAAGGAAGAAGAGAUUAGGACACAGACAGUACAGACUGAAGGACAAUCGUUUGAAGACAGAGUGGAGAACACAGCUAUCUGCAAGCCAAGGAGAGACGUUUGAAGAAUCGAACCCUACUGCCACCUUGAUCUUGGACUUCCAGCGCCCAGAACCAUGAGAAAAUAAAUUGCAUGUUGCCUAAGCCACCCGGCUGUUGAUAUUUUGUUUAUGACAGCCCAUGACUCAGAAAUUUGAGGAGCUCCCCCUCAGACUUUAUCCUGAAGUUCUGUUUCAGCUUCAGGGGCUUGUGUAAUACUACUGUAUCAAGGAGGGAGGCUCCUGCCAUUCCCUGCACUGGGUCAUUGAGACACUGCACAGCUGUCCCCAGGGCUGGCUACAUAAUUUACAAGCCCCAUGCAAAAUGAAGAUAUAGGGCCCUUUGGGCAAAAACAGGGAGGAAGUGUUUGUUAAAGGUACUAAAAUAGAAAGCUCAUUUCCUCCAUGGUCUGUCUUCUGAA